rnacentral:rRNA from 1 species
CCAGACUCCUACGGGAGGCAGCAGUGGGGAAUAUUGGGCAAUGGGCGCAAGCCUGACCCAGCAAUGCCGCGUGAAGGAAGAAGGCCUUCGGGUUGUAAACUUCUUUUAUCAGGGACGAAGGAUGUGACGGUACCUGAUGAAUAAGCUUCGGCUAACUACGUGCCAGCAGCCGCGGUAAUACGUAGGGAGCAAGCGUUGUCCGGAAUCAUUGGGCGUAAAGAGUUCGUAGGUGGCACGUUAAGUCUGGUGUUAAAUGCAGAGGCUCAACCUCUGUUCGGCACUGGAUACUGGCGAGCUUGAAUGCGGUAGAGGUAAAGGGAAUUCCUGGUGUAGCGGUGAAAUGCGUAGAUAUCAGGAGGAACAUCGGUGGCGUAAGCGCUUUACUGGGCCGUAAUUGACACUGAGGAACGAAAGCCAGGGUAGCAAAUGGGAUUAGAUACCCGAGUAU